GACGUAGGGCGCGAGCGUUGUCCGGAUUUAUUGGGCGUAAAGAGCUCGUAGGCGGCUUGUCGCGUCGUCCGUGAAAACUUGGGGCUCAACCCCAAGCUUGCGGUCGAUACGGGCAGGCUAGAGUUCGGUAGGGGAGACUGGAAUUCCUGGUGUAGCGGUGAAAUGCGCAGAUAUCAGGAGGAACACCGGUGGCGAAGGCGGAUCUCUGGGCCUUACCUGACGCUCAGGCGCGAAAGCUAGGGGGAGCGAACAGG
rnacentral:rRNA from 1 species